rnacentral:rRNA from 1 species
AAGGAUCAUUACAGAGAGGGGGCGUCCGCGCCCCCGGGGGCUCCGGCCCCCACCUCUACACCCGUGCUCACGUACCGUUUCCCUGUUGCCUUGGCGGGCCUUGGGCUCACCGCCCAUGCCGGCCCACCCGCCGGCGCGUGCCCGCCAAUUGCCUCCCACAAAUCGGUUGAUCGGUGAAGUCUGAGCGUGAUGUAUCAAUAAUCAAAACUUUCAACAACGGAUCUCUUGGUUCUGGCAUCGAUGAAGAACGCAGCGAAAUGCGAUAAGUAAUGUGAAUUGCAGAAUUCCGUGAAUCAUUGAAUCUUUGAACGCACAUUGCGCCCCUCGGUAUUCCGGGGGGCAUGCCUGUUCGAGCGUCAUUGCACCCCUCAAGCGUAGCUUGGUCUUGGGUCCGCGCCCGCCCCGGCGCCCCUGAAAAGCAUUGGCGGCCCGGGGGUGACUUCCAGUGCAGUAGAACCAUCUCCCGCUGCGAAGCCGCCCCGGUGGCCCCCAGACAAGCCCCAUCAGCUUCAAUGAUUGACCUCGGAUCAGGUAGGGAUACCCGCUGAACUUAA